GGCCAUAGCUCAGUGGUGGCUGAGCAUCUGCUUUAAAUGCAGAAGGUCCUAGUUUGAAUACCUAAUAUCUCUAGGUAGGGCUCA